GACGAACGCUGGCGGCGUGCUUAACACAUGCAAGUCGAACGGAAAGGCCCCUUUGGGGGUACUCGAGUGGCGCACGGGUGCGUAACACGUGAGUAACCUGCCCUUGACUUCGGGAUAACUUCAGGAAACUGGGGCUAAUACCGGAUAGGAAUCCUUGCUGCAUGGUGGGGGUUGGAAAGCUUCGGCGGUUUUGGAUGGACUCGCGGCUUAUCAGCUUGUUGGUGGGGUAGUGGCUUACCAAGGCUUUGACGGGUAGCCGGCCUGAGAGGGCGACCGGCCACAUUGGGACUGAGAGACGGCCCAGACUCCUACGGGUGGCAGCAGUGGGGAAUAUUGCACAAUGGGCGGAAGCCUGAUGCAGCAACGCCGCGUGCGGGAUGACGGCCUUCGGGUUGAAAACCGCUUUCAGCAGGGGCGAAGCUUGUGGUGACGGUACCUGCAGAAGAAGCACCGGCUAACUACGUG
rnacentral:rRNA from 1 species